ACCCAGCCAACAUAUCAUAUUAUACUUAGUUGUUAUACCUCCUUAGGCAAUUGUUUGGCUACAACAUGUUCUCAGACUUCCCUUGUUUUUGAUAAUCUUGACAGUUUUGAGAAGUACUGGUCAAGUGGUUUGCAGAAUGUGCUUCAACUGAGGUUUGUCUGAUGUUUUUCUCAUGGUUACACUGGGGGUUAUGUGUUUCGGGGAGGAAGAACACAGAGGUAAGGUGUGUCCUAUCAACAUGGCUUGUCACCACUGAUGUUAAUCUUUGAUCCUUGGCAGAGGUGGUUGUUCUCAGGUUUCUCCACCAUAACGCUGCUCUCCCACCCCAUCCCCUUUCCAUAUCACCCUCCUUGGAAGGAAGAAUUUCUGCAUGACCUGCACUUAAGGACAGCUGAGAUACCUCCUUGAGGGGAGAGUAUCUAUAUCAAUUGUUUGAAAUUCUCCUGCAGAGUAGAUUUGUCUAUUCUCUCCAUUUAUUCAUUUAUUUAAUAAUUUAUUUAGAAAUCACAACAAAGGCUCUUAUGAUCCAUGUGCAUUUGUCAAGUGAAAGAGUGAAUAAUCAGGUACAUCACAGCCUUCCUGAGCGCAGCUCACCAGACGGCACUUCAGCACUGUGUUUGGGAGUCAAUUUAAACAGCAAAAUCAUCAACAAAAAGCAC